UAUUUCAUCAUUUGCUGGUUGGCAUUUUUUAUCGUGGAGAUUUGCUUGCUUGCGGGUUCUGUGAGGAAUGCCUACCAUACCAGAUACAGGACAGUUUUUGGGGACCAACCUCCUUCUUGCGAGAUCUUGAG